AUUGAACGCUGGCGGCAGGCCUAACACAUGCAAGUCGAGCGAGUGGCGGACGGGUGAGUAAUGUCUGGGGAACUGCCCGAUGGAGGGGGAUAACUACUGGAAACGGUAGCUAAUACCGCAUACCAUCGGAUGUACCCAUAUGGGAUUAGCUAGUGGGUGGGGUAAAGGCUCACCUAGGCGACGAUCUCUAGCUGGUCUGAGAGGAUGAACAGACACACUGGAACUGAGACACGGCCCAGACUCCUACGGGAGGCAGCAGUGGGGAAUAUUGCACAAUGGGCGCAAGCCUGAUGCAGCCAUGCCGCGUGUAUGAAGAAGGCCUUAGGGUUGUAAAGUACUUUCAGCGGGGAGGCGUUACCCGCAGAAGAAGCACCGGCUAACUCCGUGCCAGCAGCCGCGGUAAUAC
rnacentral:rRNA from 1 species